AGGAUGGAUUAAUGAUUUUCUCUCAUGGAAGGCUUGGAUACCUCUUUGUCGACUAACUUACGGGGCCUACCUGUUUCAUCCUCUUCUCAUGAAUGUCUUCGUUGGAAACACAACCCAUUCAUAUUCUGUCAAUGCAGUCUAUAUUGCUUACUACUUCACAUCGUGCUGUGUAUUCAGUUAUCUCGUCUCGCUCCUCGUAUCACUGGGAUUUGAGAUGCCUCUCGCCAACCUCGAAGGCGUUUUAAAGUAGAUUGCUCCAAAACUCCAGUAGAGGCCCGUUGCAGAAAUUGUAUGAUUGGCUCGAAGCCAAGUUAUGUUUGAUUUCUGGAGUUGAGUUUGAUUGCAACUGUUUUUGAAACAGUACCCUGAAAAAACAAACUUGUUUUUUUUUUAUCAUGAUGGAUUUAUUUUGUAAGAAACCUGUACAAGUGUAAUAAGAGAGAAAUAAAGUAUGUUUAUGCACUGCUUUUUAUUUAUCGCUAAUUUUUGUAUCGUGCUAUUUUAUACGAUUCAAGUAUACUGAAAAAUAUUCACCGAGGUAUAAUGGCUGAAAAGAACAACUCACCUUAUUCUAACUUUCUCUUCAGAAUAUUGUCAUGGAUUCAUAUAUCAAAAUGAUUUUCCCUAUAUGUUAUUGAUCUUUUUUUUCCCAUUUACAAUCGCUCAGACAACCUCAGACAAACAACUCCCAUUUCAUAAACCCUCUCACAGAGGGCAGUGUUUACGUUUGAAAGCCCGCCUUCGUUGGACAUACUGUGUAAGGUUAGACGCACUUUGUUUGAACACUUUGGUCAAGUAAUAUAUUUUUAUUAUGAAAAGAAAUCAUUGUAUAAUUUGAAUAUCACUAUUCAUUAUAUCGAAGAUCAAACUUCAAUCCGUCAUUACACAAAAGAGCAUGGAUAAAUUCGAAUUGUGGGAUGUUAAUAUCCUGCCAAAGGUGAGCAGCUCUGUUUUUAACUUGUGAAUUCCGUUUAGCUAUAUUAACCUUAUAUCGGAGAGUGUCUUCUUUUAUCAAUUAUGUCACAAAACAAACUACAGUACUUCUCGGUAUAUUUAUUCCUCUAUCUAUUAUUUGAAAUGAUUUCAUUUUGUAUAAUUGCACACCAAAGCAAUUUAUCAUGAAUACAGCAUUUCGAUAAAAAAAUGAAUUUUUGAUAAUUAUCAACAUUAUGUCUUUUAUCUUGUAUUUUUUUCCAAAUACCACAUUAGGGUGUUUGCCUUCAAAUUGAGGCCAAGUCUAUAGCCCGUGUCUGACGUCCAGUUUAAUUUGGACUAUGGUCUAACUCUGCUUGUACUAUGGAAACCGAAAAUAUGAACAUUUCGUUUCCAUUUUAUUUUAUAAUUAAUUUGCUCUUUCCUCCUGCUUUAUAAUGCUUAACUCAUGGAAAGCGAAAAUAUCACAAUUUUGCUUGUAUUGAAUUUUGCUAUGAUUAAGUCAUAAGGUGAAUAAAACUAUUAAUUUUCUAUUCCUGAACCAGGUGCCUGGGUAUGAUCCUUGAAGAGGGGGUGUUGGUUUGGAAAAAAAAAAUCGAAUUUGGUCAAAAUUUUACAUUUAUGCGUACCAACCUGAUUUCCUGGGAGGGGGUGGUGUUGCCUAUGGUGUAUAACAACACAUCACCUCUGGGCCAUGUCCCAAACAGUCGUUAAUGAUUUUAAGGUCAAAUCAGCUGGUAAUUGAACAAAAUAAAAUAUUUUUGUCACAGUUGGAAAUCCAUAGAUCAACCACAAUUGUAUACCAGGGGUCUGUUCGUAAGUUAAGAGCGACUUUAAGAACGACCGGUGAUCCUUUCUUACGCACCAAACCAUCACCAAUGAAUCUACCAUUUAACACAAGAAAGGAUCACCAGUCGUUCUCAAAGUCGCUCUUAACAUACGAACAGCUUUAUGAAACACCCAUCAGAGUUAGCAUUAAUCCCAAGUUCAGAAUACGGGCGUUUAAUGUUUGGAGAAAUAUUUAUACUGCGUCAUCUUUAUACCAACUUUUGUCAUCUGACAAAUUGUCGGACCAGACAAAUUUAUUAUCUUAAUUAGCUGAGAAGUACUGCUACUAUAGUAAUUCUCGAAUAUAACAGACAUGCCAUAAAUCCUUACAUUAAACGGUCCACAACCAAGUAUAUAAGUUUUCACUGCAAUCACUGUACAAAACCUGAUAUUUUUCUCGGAUAUUAAAGAAUCACGAAAAUCAUAUUUAUUGGCAUAUGUCAUUUUCCUUAUUCAUCAUCAUUAAUAGUUCAUUAUCGUUAAAAAAUUACCUCGACAAACUCAAAAUUAUGGUGGCUUGGGUUUUUGCCUCAUAAGAGCUUCUACAAACUUUGAGCAUUUAUUUAAUUUAUUGUUUUUGUCUUUCAGUGUAUUCAGUUCUACGAAAUAAAACUAGACAUUUGUAUUAACAA